AAGAAUAUAGUUAAUUAUAACAUUUGAUUUGCAAUUAAAAAGUAUUGAUACCCAAUUUUUCUUA
rnacentral:tRNA from 1 species